rnacentral:misc_RNA from 1 species
GAACGCACAUUGCGCCCUUUGGUAUUCCGAAGGGCAUGCCUGUUCGAGCGUCAUUUCAAACCUCAAGCUCACGCUUGGUCUUGGGCGCCGUCCGCGAGGGCGCGCCAGAAACCCGUAGGCAGUGGUGCCCGCACUCCCAGCGUAGUCAAUUCACCGCUCGGAGCGCGUGGUGCCGCCCGCCAGGCGAACAACCACUAUUUUUCUAUGGUUUGACCUCGGAUCAGGUAGGGAUACCCGCUGAACUUAAG